UGCCUGGAAAUGGUGAAUAGUAGUUAGGUUUCCAAUAUCCUACCGGAAGUUAACAAUGUGGAGAUUGAUGUCCAUGACUCCUAUCCUAUUGAAAGUAAUGAAUAUCAAACUGCAAGCUUCUGAUUCUUAAAUGUGUAAAAAGUAAGAAACACAGGUUCAUGUACUCUUCUCCUUCACCAUCAAAGGGGUGGCUUAACAUUAUUUCCCACAAAGAAAUUGAUUACAAUAAGAAAAAAAAACUCUUCACAAAAUGGUACAGGCAUAAAAUGAGGCGGUUAAUUUCCAUUAUUCCAUGGAAACAGUAAUCUGAAGAAAGCAAAGAAUAGAACAGUGUCAUACGAUUCGACAAGAAACUGGCGUCUCUGCAAUAUUCCUUGCUAAGAUUCAACACAAUCAAAAGUCAUCACAGACAUUUCCACUAAUAGAGACCAAUUGUCUCAUACUUGCAGGUUGAUCACAGCAAGGAAACACACCUUUUUGAAGUUCAAUAUCCAAUCCCUUUCAGCAUGAGUAUACCUAGUAGCAGGAAGUUCAGGUUCUGGCUUCAAUGGCUCUUCAGGAAGAAAGUGCUCAAAUCCAUCAGACUUAGUAGCAGGAGUAAAAUCUUCUUGUCUAAAACACGAAACUGUCCAUCUCUGAAGAAUCCAAACCAAGUUAAUCAGGCAAAAACGAAAACCACCUCUGUUUGCAUAAUCAACGAAAACUAACCAAAUGAGAUACGAAUCAUUAAUCAAUUAGCUUCCAUCAUCGAAUUGAAUGCAAAAACAGUUAACAAACAGAACGGAGCUUUAUAGGAAGAUAAAGUUACAUUCUUGUGAAGCUUGGAAUUGGAUUGAAGGAUCCUUGGAUUCCUAGCUGCAAGAGAUGAGCUGCCAGGGCGGUUAAAAGCAGUAAACUUCCUGGAAAGUGAAGGGACGAGAAUCGGGCGAUGAGAUAAGGAUUGAGAGCAACAGUAGCUCAACAUCUAGGAACACAGAUUAGAAACCCCAAUCAAUCCGCAUCACUAAGGGGAAUUCGAGCUUGAUCGGACGGGGAAAUAAUUUCCAGUAUGAAGAAUCGGACAAAAAUGGAAGGAACGACGAAAGCCCUAAUUGGGGAGAGGUAAAAUGGUGGUGGUAGUUGGAGGAAGGAAGGCGGAAGGAGAUGGAUAAAGGCUUAAGGCUGCGUUUGGCAGUUGGAAUUUGAAGUAGGUAGACUGUAUAACAAAUAAUUUCAAAAGCCAUUUUUACAUGUGUAACAUGUUUUAGAUCAUAUAAAAUGAGAGAACUUUCCUUUUUCUAUCAUGGAUCAUUUGCACAAGGGACCUUUUUUCGGGGACAUUUGACAAGAGUGAUUCGUACACUAUUUCGUAACAACCACAUGCUAUAAACUUCGAUCAUGCUUUACGGGUAGCUUUCUGCGCGAGAAUGAUUGGCUCACUGUCUUGUAACAACCACAUGCUAUUAGUGUUCUUGGUUUGGUCCAAGAUAACAAAGUGUGUCACCAUAUAGUGUUUUCAAGCACAAAUUAAUCCAUCUAAACUACAAAUUUCAAGUUCCCACACAAAAUUCAUUAUAACUAAUUACCUCUCUGAGAUUUACAUUCGAAAUGAAAGUAUCAAGUCGACAUCUUACUACAUGCUUAAUCACGAAUAAAACAUAAUGUGUGAUUGAUGAUUAAGAAAGAUAUGGAUCGAAGAACACAAUCUGAAACUACAUUAGGGAAAAUAACUCUGUGAAUGAAAUUAUAGGUCCAACCAUAUGGACAAGAGAUGUUGUACCGAUGGUACUUAAUAGGAGACCAUAUAAUAAGAUGGUGAACGCUACGGUGGCACUUGAAUUAGUUUCAUAAAGAACUCACGAUUUGUAUACCGAAAAGAAUGAGCAGGAUAAACAUCAGAUGAGCCCUCAUUAAUGAAACCUUUGAUUUUGAUGUUCUUGACAGUAUAUAUGGAUGAAAUAUCCAGUAGUUGUGUACAUAUCUGAUAUCUGUCUGAUUCUUCUUCCCAACUUUGCUACUUUGGGAAGCACCAGAAAAAACCAGUUCAGUUCCCACAAAAAUAAGCCAAUUAAGGAAAAGAGAGACCAAGAUAAGCAAAUUGACACAGUUUUACAAUGAGAGGCUCACGAGGAGUAAGAAGAGAAACGCCAGGAUAUUAGCAACUGGAUUUGCUGCGUAGAACCCCGACCUCCAGCCCUUUAUAAACGAGAACGUCAAACCUAAUAUAAUCACUACCUGCAUUAAUGGAGAGGCCUCAUUUGUUAAAAGCUCAGAGUAUGAUUCUCAUAAGUACACAGCUCAGACUACCAUUGUCAAAAGUACACAUAAUUGUACAGAAGCUAAAGAGACUGUAAGUUAAUAUAUAUGAACUAUUGAAUAGAAGAAAAACUUAGAAAGGCUCCAUGAAAGUUUCAUCAGAUUUCUCAAGUCAGAUUCCAACAUUGCAUGGAAGAAAAUAUGUGAAGCAGAGACGACCUUAUGAUCAUCCUUGUGCGGUGGUACUCGUAUUGCUAACAAAGGACAACAGUCGACUACCACACAAUAACACCAAUGCAGUUCUGUAAUCUUAUUCAUUUCUGAAGAAAAUCUAAGACUUUCCAUCUCCCAUUUUCUAGUACACAAUUGAUUUGAUAACUGAGUGGAAAAUACGUUACCUGGAAAAACAUAUAUAGAGCCCAAUCCUCAGUAAGUAGAAGUACAAUUACAUCCCAUACCAAGUCCUUUGCCUGGAAAUGGAGUUAUGGUAGUUAGGUUUCCAUAACUUGACGAAAAGAAUAGAGACUGAUGUCCACAACUCCUAUCUUACUGAAAACAGCGAGUUCCGAAUUGCAAGCUCUUGAUUCUCAUGUGCAGAAAGGAACAAACAUAGAUUCAUGUAGUCCAAUGGUCUCAUGAUGGGAUCACAACAAGAAUCAGUUCAAUUGCAAUCCUUCACUACAGCAGCAAACAAGCAAAACCUUGCCAUAAACUCAACAUAAACACACCUGUUGAAAUUUCAGCAUCCAACCCUUCUUAGGAUUAGUUGAGCUAUUAAGUUCAGGUUCUGGCUUCAAUGGCUCGUGGGGAAGCAAGUUCUCAA
rnacentral:lncRNA from 1 species